rnacentral:misc_RNA from 1 species
CGCUAGCGACCGUAUUAUCGCCUGGCAUAGUGUGCACCACACGUACCAUCGGUGCGACGAGUGUGUUUGUUUGUGUAAAUGCGUGUGUUAGGUGAAUCCGGAAUCGUCUGCUCCGUUGCUCUCGAGAGGAGAAGACGGUCGGCUGGAGAGGAAGCGAGAAGUUAGUUAGCCCGACGUCGAGCCAGUGAUUGGCCAGAGAUGUGCCGUCGAUGUUUUCCCAAAACGCUGAGGGUGUCGCGUCAAUUAUCGCGUUGACGUUCCGCUGCAUCGGUUCGGUCGUGCGGUGGCCGUGCAGUUUGACGACGUAAAAAGUGAUCGUUACCCAGCGAAAGAGAGAGAGAGAGAGAGAGAGAGAGAGAGUGAGUGAGUGAGAGAUUAAGAGAGAGAGCGAGGCAGCGGCCGGGAGAAGGGUGAGGAAGACGGAGCGAAAAGGAGAGAGGAGGGAGAGCAGUGCCGCCAGGCUUUUCUCCGUGUUUCGCCUGGAGUAUCAGCAUCGGGCUUCCGUGUUUCCCGCGACGGGUAGCAGACGACGUGAUUGAAACGAUGCUGACAGGAGCUGCCGCGGAGUAACAACAGGGCCGAAGGAGGGGGGGCAAAGAAGCGAAAGAAGCGGAAGAAAAGGCCGAGGGUGGAAAAGAAAAGCGGGCCGCUUUUGCAUGUUUUGAUUUUUUUCGAGUCGGGGAAACGGCUCGUCCGUACACUGACAGCUACCGUCGCACUCACGAUGGCAGGCACAAAGUCCGUCGCUAACGUCGUUCAGAUAAAACCGGUCGAGGUAUCGCAGCAGCUCCAAGACGGCGAGAAAUUCGUCAAAUGGGACGAGGACUCAGGAGUUGGGACACCAGUCACGUUGCGGGUCGAUAAAUUCGGUUUUUAUCUUCAUUGGGUAGAUCAGAACAAUGAAAUGGAUAUGCUGGAUAUUUCCACAAUACGAGAUACACGCACUGGAAAAUACGCCAAAAUCCCAAAAGAUCCGAAAUUGAAAUCCCUGGUAACAAUGGGCUCUCAAGAUUCUCUCGAGGAGAAGACUGUAACGGUAUGUUACGGCUCUGACUUUGUCAACGUGACGUUUAUCAAUUUUUGCACAACACGAGCUGAAAUCGCACGACAUUGGACGGAUCAGCUGUUGAAAGUUGCUUACAACUUGACGCAACUUAACACGAGCUCAAUAAUGUUCUUACAAAAAGCGCACACUAAGCUUUCCUUAACAGCCGACAAGUCUGGAAAGGUUGCAAUUAAAAAUGUGAUAAGAAUGUUCGCGCAAAAUAAAGAAGACCGCAAACGUGUUGAAAAAGCACUUGAUAUUUCCGGCAUGCCUUCUGGCAAGAAUGAUGCAAUAUCUUUGCAGAAAUUUCAGUUUGAAGACUUCUUCAAUUUUUAUAAAUCCCUCACUCAGCGUACCGAGGUAGAAAAGGUGUUUGAUGAAAUAGUGGGCAAUGCGAAGCGUAGACUAAUGUCAGCUGCACAGCUUGUAGAAUUUCUGAACAAAACUCAGAGGGAUCCACGAUUGAAUGAGAUUUUAUAUCCGUAUGCAAAUACGGCGCGGGCAAAGGACAUUAUCAACGAAUAUGAACCGAACAAGUACAACGCGGGAAGAGGAUACCUCAGUUUUGACGGUUUUCUCAGGUACUUAAUGAGCGAGGAUAAUCCCAUUAUGGCUGUAUCAAAAUUUGAUCUUUCCGACGACAUGGAUCAGCCGCUUUCUCACUACUUCAUCAAUUCAAGUCACAACACUUACCUCACAGGACACCAAAUAACUGGCAAAAGUUCAGUUGAAAUAUAUCGGCAAUGUUUGUUGGCUGGAUGUCGUUGCGUGGAGUUGGAUUUCUGGAACGGCAGAUUUGAUGAACCCAUGAUUGUUCACGGAUACACAUUUGUGCCUGAAAUAUAUGCACGGGACGUGAUAGAGGCGAUAGCUGAGAGUGCCUUCAAGACUUCAGAAUAUCCGGUCGUCCUCAGUUUUGAAAACCAUUGCAAUCCAAGACAGCAAGCAAAAAUAGCACAGUAUUGCAGAGAGUAUUUUGGUGAGAUGCUGCUCGACGCUCCUCUUGAAUCUCACAAGUUAGAACCCGGACAAGAACUUCCACCGCCAUCAUCGUUGAAGCGAAAAAUAAUAAUAAAGAAUAAAAAGAAGCAUCAUCAUCACCAUCAUCACAAGAAACAUCACAAGAAGCAACAAGCACAGUCUCAGGAUUCCGGCGAGGGUUCACAGGAAGCCGAUGACAAUGGACUGGUGAACAUCGGAGCUGAGGGUGAGAGUGGACCACCGCCUGAUAUAAUACCGCAAAACGAAGUCGUAGAUGGAGUUGUCAUCGGAGCCGCUCCAACCGAGCAGCAAAUUGGAAAUGGAGACAUUCCUCGCGCUCCUUUGCUACAGCAGAGGCAGGGAAGCAAGGACAGUACGCAGGAUGACGAUGACGAAGACGAAGAGUCCACCACUGACGAAGAAGAGUCGAAUGUUGAAGAUAUGAAACUGAGAAUCGGUGACAAAAUCCCUGUACCUGACAAGGUAGCGACAGCUGCUACUGCAAAGGAAACAGAGGCGGGUGCCGAAAUAUCGGCUCUUGUCAACUACGUGCAACCCGUGCAUUUUAGCAGUUUUGAAAAUGCUGAGAAGAAAAAUCGCAUGUACGAAAUGUCUUCGUUUGAUGAGAAACAAGCAACGACGCUGUUGAAGGAGAGGCCAUUGGAGUUUGUAAAUUACAACAAACACCAGCUUUCCAGGGUUUAUCCCGCAGGGACCAGAUUCGAUUCUAGCAAUUUUAUGCCUCAAGUGUUUUGGAAUGCCGGCUGCCAGCUGGUUGCACUGAAUUAUCAGACUCUAGAUCUUGCCAUGCAACUCAACUUGGGGAUUUUCGAGUACAACCAUCGUUGCGGAUACCUUCUUAAACCAGAAUUUAUGAGGCGAAAGGAUCGGCGAUUGGAUCCCUUUGCUGAGUCAACUGUCGACGGUAUAAUAGCCGGAACUGUACACAUACACGUGAUUUCGGCACAAUUUUUAACAGACAAGAGAGUCGGCACUUACGUUGAAGUCGAUAUGUACGGGCUGCCAGCAGACACCGUGAGAAAGAAGUUUAGGACUAAAAUCGUCCCGAAUAACGGAAUAAACCCGGUUUACGAUGACCCGCCAUUCAUUUUCAAAAAGGUUGUUUUGCCAGAACUCGCAUCUCUGCGAAUAGCUGCUUACGAGGACUCAGGUCGACUGAUCGGACAUAGAGUUCUUCCAGUCGUUGGUUUGUGUCCCGGGUAUAGACAUGUCGCUUUGAGAACCGAAUGCGGCCAACCACUGCCUUUGGCUAGCCUGUUUCUGCACGUAAUCGUCAAGGAUUACGUACCCGACGGACUUUGCGACUUUGCCGAAGCGUUAGCCAACCCGAUUAAAUACCAAAGUGAAUUAGAGAAAAGGACUAAUCAGCUGUCUGUCUUCACAGAUGACGUCGAUGAACUCACGGAAGGGGAUUUAGAAGAUAAGGAUAAGUUUGGCACAGGGGCAAGUUCCUCAAAAUCAACAGAUGAGUUGUCAAAGGCAAAACGCUUGCAGUCAAUCAGCGAAUCAACUGGAUCGUUGCCGUUGUCUGGCAGUCCGCAUGGCAGGCCGUCCAUAGUGGGGAUCCUCAAUUCUCCCGAAAACCAAGAACAAGACGAGAGCCCAAAUGCUUCCACAUUACAACCAGCGGAAAGUUCUGCGACGAAAAGUCCUGUGAAUACAAGUACUGUGAACGAUGAGAUAGUGGCCGACUCGUUUGAAAAGUUAAUGGAGAACAAACUGAUUAAGGAUAAAAAAAUGGAGUUGGAUAAAAAGUUGGAGUCUUUGAGGAAAAAACACGAGAAGGAAAAGAUGAGAAUACAGUCGCAGAAAGGAUCACUGGACGGUGAAAAGCACAGAUCUAAAUUUUAUGUGAGCCAGAUGCUGGUAAAGCGACUUUCGAGUAAAAACAUAUUCUCAAGCGAAGUUGGACUUAGCACUCAACUGCUGGCCGAAACCUCUGAAUGUUCCGAGGCAGAGCAACGCGACGGAGUGGAAGGAAUUCCGCGAGGAUUGCCCAGAAGUCAGAGCGAGAGACUGUUAGCAGUGUGCAAAGAGCAUGUGCUGCAGGAGCGGGAACUUCAAGAGAAAUAUCACGACAGUUUGUUUGCAACGCUUGAAAAAAUAAUGAAAGUUUCACAGUCAAAUCAGUUGAAAUUGUUGAAAGAAAAUCGUCAGAGAGAGAGAGAAGAGGCAUUGAAAAAACUCCAGGCUACUAGGCAGGAUCAGGUCAAACAACUCGCCAAGCUUCACAGAGAUAAGGGUGAGUUGGACAGAGUUAAGCGUGAACUGGCUAAGUCUACGGUUGAGAGAGGUGUCAACGAGUGUACUAAACUGAAAGAAAUUUAUGAGAAGAAACGAGUUGAACUCGAAAGACAGCAUGAAGAGGUCAGACAGAGGCUAGAAGAAGAAAAAGCGAAGGUAAAAGCAGCUCUGCAGGCGGAGUAUAACAAUCGUUACAGCAAGUUUGAAAUUGCCGAAUUUACGUUGUCUCCAUCCGGCGGUAGCAGCAUCCCAGAGUCUUUGAGUGGAAACACUAACUAAUACCUCAAGUUGGGUCUGCGAGAAUAAUACGUAGGCCUUGAAACUUACUUGCUGUGUUUAGACUGUCCAUCAGACACUAUCCGACUCUGGUGUUUUCUGUGUUUUCGGGGACCUCGAUAGGCGCGCUGUCCAAAAUUUUUCUUGAGAGAUGUUGAGACAAGCGAAAGAAGUGGACAACUCCUGUGUUAAUCGAGAGGCUCUCCUUUUCAAAUCGCAACUAGGUACCUUACAGAAUCUCUAUAUUUAUCUCUUUCUCUUUACCGCCAUUUUCCACACUUAUUAGUAUAUUUUUAUUGUUCUACGCACAGCUAUGCCGAUAAUUUCGAAGAAGCAUGAUAUUUUAUGUAUAUGUACAUACCAUGCAUUAUUAUAGUAUGCUAUCUUUAAUUGACACUGAUUUGAUUGAUCGAAGUCUGCGAAUUGUUUUCAAACAAAGCGAGCUUCGUCACAGCGAUGUUUUCUGACAGAAGGAAACUUUAAUUUGGUCAAGCAAAAAAAUGGGUUGGUAAUUCACACGUAAUAACUAUCCUCUUCAACUAUCGAGUGUGACCCAGGAGCUCAGCAAACAGACUAUUGAGAAGUAAAGAUAUGAAAUCUAAUUCUAAAUAACUGUAACCUUUUUCAAAAUAUCGAUUCACUUUGUUGUUAUAUGAAUAAGAUGUUACUCAGAAAACAAUUCUAACCAUAUUAUACUUAUAGGGAGAAAAACAAGAAAGAUGUAAAUGAAAACAACAACAAAAAACAAGAACAAAACAAAAGUUAAAAAAAAAAAAAAAAAAAAAAAAAAAUGCAAAAUAGAAAUAUCAAUUCAUUUAUAAUUUAUAAAAUCAAAUCUUGUAAGAUCUGAGAUGUAUAAAUAUUUAUGUGAAUCUCUUUGGCCUAUAAGAAGCGUAAGGCAUGUGCGAUUAUAAUAUAACACAUUUAACAUAUUUUUGACUGAAAGUAAUCAACGUAAAAACAUUUCUCAAGAACCUGCUUCAGAAGCGCUGGGACUGAUUGGUGAAAACGUAAUGGAGUUUCAAUACACUUGUACAUCUUGGCUGUUUGCCGAACAGUAUCGCAAAGUUGCUAUGAUUGUAAAUCAGGUAUCUAAUUUUUGUAUUUCACGAUUUAUUCGAAGACAAAGCCAAUGCAUUCCUGCUUGUUUAGUAAAUAUUGUUUUUUUUGUGUGUACAUUGUUGGAGAAAAACGUACGACAUUGAAAAUUUGGAAGUAUGUGUAAUUCCACUUUCAAGCUAGAGCCUAUUUUUUAAUUCAUUUCUUAAUCUGACUUGUGCAGUCAAUGCAGUCAGUACAACAUGCAAUUAAACUGGGCCUGCAUUGGCUGUUUCAAUGAAAUGAAUAACGUUGUGUAAAAUAUAAGUUAGAUUAAAGUAUAAUAUUAAUAUAUUUUAUAUAUCCUAUUGAAAGCAGGAAAAAAAAAGAAAUCUCAAGGCAACUUUUCAUUUACUUAUCGAUGUUGAAUAUUAGGCGACGAAGUUGACCACCGGCUGUUCCCAGCACUUCUGACGUUCACCAGGAUCUGUAUGAGAUUCAUCAAAGAAUGAACUUUGGUCGAAUCACCUCUUUGAGGAAGACAAUCAAAAAUGUUACAGAGUAAACUAAACUGUAACAUUUUCCUUGUUGUUUCUAAUCAUAUGAUAUACUUAAAAUAAGCUAAUCUUAUUAACUCUAAGGUAAAGAUUUAAGGUGUGUAAACUUUCUUGUAAAGUGUGUUAUUUAUUUGUGUCUAAAUUAUCAUAUUGUUCCGAGUAUAAGCCAAGGUUUUUUGCCGUUGACAGCACGCACCAAAAUCGUCCUCGUCUUGUACGUGGGUAACUAAGAAAAACACCCUGAAAUACUGUCUUAGAAUUGGGGAUCGGCUUGUACGCGGAACAAUGUGGUAUUAUUGCUGACAUUAGUAUCGAACGUACGGUCAUCAUUAUAGGGCAUGUUCACUGAUUAUUGUGGCAGCAUAGUUUUUACGGCAGUGGGAUUCGAGGUCUGAAUAUUAUUUGGCGUUAAGUUGAUUAAACGAUGUCUUGUUGCAUCGAAUCAACGAAUUUGUUUUCCGUUGCGUCUCUGCCCGAAAUCCGACUGUCGAUAGAUAAUGUAAAGGGGACAUGUUGUGAUAUUAAAGGAUCUCAAAGCAAUCGUAGCAGUGCAAACAAGUCGUUACGAAAAAAACAUCAAAAUGAGCUGGUUGAGUAAAAAUAUGCGAUUAAACUUCACACUGCUCACAACCGAGUAAAGCUAUUUGUUAAAAUGCAAUAAGUCGCAGAAUACACGGUUGAAGGAUACAAUUUUGGCUAAUAAGUAUUUGAGGGUGAGAAAGAAUCUCAUUAUUAUAUUGAUCCGGACGUAUUGUUCCAUAGUUGUAAUAUUAUUCCAAGUCGCACGUUUGGUUUUAAUAUCUACCACCUGACGCCUGCUUAUCUCAAGUACCGUACAAGUCUAUUUUUUAUACGAAGAGAAAAGACAUGAUAUUUUAUACACAAUAUAAGUCGCAGGAAUUGUCUUUCCUUCGGAAUUAAUUGACGUGUUUUUUCCGUUCUUUGAAAAUCCAGCUAAUUUCUCUGCUCCUCAUUGUUCAGAAUAAGUCCGUUACAAUAUUGCUGCAAUUUUGACAUAUUCUCAAUAUAAUGGUUUGAGAAAGUAGGUGUACCGACAGCAGUUCACAAGCUUGAGACAACAAUGCUUAAAUAAUGUAACGUUUGUCGAAACAUUCAGGAAAUGUUUGGCAAUCGAGGGGAAACGAGCGCAGUCGAUAGACAGAAAAGAAGAGAAAAAAACGGAUAUCACAAUAACGAUGCUUGGAUAUUAAAAGAUACAAAUACAACGUGUUGAAAAAACAAAAAUGUAAUCUAGAAUUACACACAUGCAUGCAUGUACAUACGCGCGUACAUAUGGUAUGUAUAUACCAGUAAAAGUUGAGGAGAGUUGCAUUUUAUAGAUAGUCACUAUUAUACCGUGAGAAAUAAUGCGUGUUUUCCAAAUAGUACUUAGGAGAAGUAAAAUAAUGCAACAGACAUAUUGUAAAUGCGGAUAGUAACGUCCAAGAAAAGUUACCAUUUCUUAACAAAGACUCUAGCCGAUCGUCUACCUAUCCUACCUACUGCCUCGAUCCUAGUUUUUCUAGUAGCGAUAUGGAUUUUCUGCUGGAAUUGAACGUGUAUAGUCGAUGCGAGCGAACCUCGUUGUAAGGAAAUGGCUUCAAUUUUUGGACAGUUAGACCCAAAUAUAUUGCCUAGUAAUACAGGAAAGUGAAACCGAAUACUUCUGAUCUAGUUCUGGUAGUAACGAUGUAACAAUACCACAACUAAACGACCUUUGCCGUUUCUGAUGUGACGAUAGAUAGUUUUUCGCAGUUCGAUGCUUUUAUCCGACAAAUAGUAUUCAUGCUGUAGAGCGUACCAGCUUCCUGUAUCAUUACACUAUAUUUGGAAGAAGUUAAUGAUUAGCGUAACGCCUCUUCCAAAUAGGAUUUUCCCUUAGGGUUGUAUUGUAACUAGUUAGUGAAUUGAUACCUUUAGCAAAUUGUAAGAUUAAUGUUUAUAGGAACGGUAUUAAUGUAGAUAUACAUAAGCAUACAUAUAUGUAUACCAACAGUUUUGCAGUAGCUUAGAAAUAAUUAUAGCACAAUGUUGUACGUGGCAUAAGUGUGUAUUUAAAAAUGCACUGGAAAUUUCGUUAGUUUGUAUACCUCUAUGCAUCGCUGUUAACUUUGGUACAAAGAAAUGCAAACGAUCAAAUUUUUAUAACUUCUCUCUUUCUCAUUUCGCAAGUCUUUUAACGCAUAUACAAAGCGUUUGGUAAAAAAUUUGGAAACGCGUUAAAAAUUCUUACGAAGAAAAUUUGUCUCUAAUCGAUAUACUCAUGCAUUUUAUGUCUGGUCUCAUUUGAUAAACAACCUAGUAUUUGAAUAGUUAUAAUUAUGUGUGUAGUAGAUAUUCAGCUUGCUGUUAUCAUUUCACUUUUAAAGUCUCGACGCAAAAGAAGAAAGUUCUCUUUUAUGACAAAUUAUCAAGUAGUUAUCAAUUUUUACAAAUAAUUUCUUUACUGUUUCAUACGAGUAAUCAUUUUCAAGGUUUUAAUUUUGCUGCUAGCGAUUUUGAAAUUUAUCAUCACUGAUUUUGGCAGAGUCCUAGUCACAAUUUACUACUGUACCAGUUAUCAAUAAAAGAGAAUCGAUAUUUUAGUUAGUAGGGGAACGAGUUGCGUGCUAAUAGUUUAGUUUAUAGAGCUGGGCAUCGUGAUUUUUCUACUAAACGGUACAAAUUCUUAAUAUUAUUUAAUACAAUUCCUUUACGUCGGAGAGAGCGUUCCAAGAUCUUCCAUUACAAUACCGUAUAGAAUAAUAAUUAUAUUUCAAUUUCAAUCGCGCUGCAAUCUGCAACUUUUAUACUUGCCUGUAUUUCCUUGUCAAGAAUCUACUUAUGUAUUACAAUUCUGAAGCAACGGCAAUCGAACCAUUUUACUGUUAAGCGAUCGGUUCUUUGUUGUAUCCGUAUAUAUAUAUGUUUUUUUUUCUUCAAGUUUUGUCGCACAGCGUUCCACAAGUUACCGUUUAAUUUAGGUUUAGAAUAAAACUUGCCACUCGAUAGUACAACGUACAAUUUUACCUGGAUAACAGUGAUGCGUAUGAUUUGACGUAGACCUCGGAUUAGCCGAAUACUGGGUGUGGAGUAAGAGGCUAACUGUAGGAAAAGAUGAAACCUCGAAGCGCAUGCAUUUUGUCACUCCGUCUAUGCGUGCAAACUUCCGGAUCAGAAUUUCGUAUCCCAGUAAUUACGUCGUCUGUAUAUAUUAGCUUGACCUCCCAUCCUCCUUCAUCCUACCACAAAUAUUUAUAUACAAAAUAACGAUAAAUAUAUUAUAUCCAUGUUGAAAUAUUAAUUAUGUGUUGUUGCUGUUGAUGUUGUUAUUAUAAUAUAAUGGUCAUCAUUGUUCAUAGAGAUGAUAAUUGAUAAGGUAGCGUUACAUAAAUACAUAAAUACAUACAUACAUACAUAAAUACAUACAUGCGUGCAUAUAUAUACUAUGUGCAUUACCUUAGAUAUAUAUGUACAAUUCGGUAAAUUAAAGUAACGCAUUAUCCCGUGUAUCACAUUUUAAUAUUUUGAAAAUCUGUCGAGCUUGGCAUGCGAAUUUUUAAGAUUUAAAUUUAUCCCGUGCAACUUAUUACGGAAAUAGAAAUAAUCUUUGUUUGGCUAGGCUAUUUUUUUAAUACACAUUAUUAUUUAUUUAUUUAUUUUACUUUUAUUACCAUAUUUUCUCACACGCAUUAACGCUUAAAAUUAGUCAGUCGUCCUAAAAACUAACAACUAAGUCGUGUUACUUGAACUUUGAAACUCCAAUUGUUUUCGCAUGUUUACUUCUAGUUAGUAGAAUUUUAAAUCUCUACAGUUAUAUCCUCCGAAAUAGUUGAAUUUCUUUGGUACUUUAAUCUAG